rnacentral:rRNA from 1 species
AAACUUAAAUGAAUUGACGGGGCCCGCACAAGCGUGGAGCAUGUGGUUAAUUCGACGCAACGCGAAGAACCUUACCAGGCCUUGACAUACUCGGCAAAGCUCUAGAGAUAGAGUGGAGGUUAUCCGGGAUACAGGUGGUGCAUGGUUGUCGUCAGCUCGUGUCGUGAGAUGUUGGGUUAAGUCCCGCAACGAGCGCAACCCUUGUCUUUAGUUACCAUCAUUCAGUUGGGGACUCUAGAGAGACUGCCGGUGAUAAACCGGAGGAAGGCGGGGAUGACGUCAAGUCCUCAUGGCCCUUACAUCCCGGGCUACACACGUGCUACAAUGGCAGGUACAGAGGGCUGCGAAGCCGCGAGGUGGAGCGAAUCCCAGAAAACCUGUCUCAGUCCGGAUUGAAGUCUGCAACUCGACUUCAUGAAGGCGGAAUCGCUAGUAACCGCGAAUCAGCAGGUCGCGGUGAAUACGUUCCCGGGCCUU